rnacentral:rRNA from 1 species
AUUGAACGCUGGCGGUAGGCCUAACACAUGCAAGUCGAACGGCAGCACAGUAAUAGCUUGCUCUUACGGGUGGCGAGUGGCGGACGUUUGAUGAAUACAUCGGAAUCUACUUUUUCGUGGGGGAUAACGUAGGCAAACUUACGCUAAUACCGCAUACGACCUACGUGUGAAAUCAUGGGAUCUUCGGACCUUGCGCGAUUGAAUGAGCCGAUGUCGGAUUAGCUAGUUGGCGGGGUAAAGGCCCACCAAGGCGACGAUCCUUAGCUGGUCUGAGAGGAUGAUCAGCCACACUGGAACUGAGACACGGUCCAGACUCCUACGGGAGGCAGCAGUGGGGAAUAUUGGACAAUGGGCGAAAGCCUGAUCCAGCCAUACCGCGUGGGUGAAGAAGGCCUUCGGGUUGUAAAGCACUUUUGUUGGGAAAGAAAAGCAGCAGGUUAAUACCCCGCUGUUCUGACGGUACCAAAAGAAUAAGCACCGGCUAACUUCGUG